UACGUAGGGAGCAAGCGUUGUUCGGAUUUACUGGGCGUAAAGGGCGCGUAGGCGGCGCGGUAAGUCACUUGUGAAAUCUCUGAGCUUAACUCAGAACGGCCAAGUGAUACUGCAGUGCUAGAGUGCAGAAAGGGCAAUCGGAAUUCUUGGUGUAGCGGUGAAAUGCAUAGAUAUCAAGAGGAACACCUGAGGCGAAGGCGGGUUGCUAGGCUGACACUGACGCUGAGUGCGCGAAAGCCAGGGGAGCAAACGGG
rnacentral:rRNA from 1 species